CUCUGGUUGGUGGGUCGGAUGAGCUUGCAAUAUCUCCGAGUUGUGCACAAGAAGACCUUUUGUGUAGGUUUAUUCUUGACGGACAUGCCCGACGAGGAUAUUUCGAGGUGAUGAAGUAUUCAGCAUUCGACUCAUCCUUUCUUUCUUUGACAUAUGGGUGCACAAUAUUGAUCUCCUUUUCUGUUUUACUCACCCGAGCGGCAACGCGAAGCUGCAGUUGCUGAAAAUAGCGGUGCUAGCAUGAGGAUCACAUGUUCGUCUGUCUCUUAUUUCUAUCUCUUUUGGUAUAUCUUUCUCAGUCCCGAUACCUUUUGAUGAUACAGUUUUUCAUGUUUGAGUUGAUCAUUCAGUAAGAUCAAGCAACAUAAUGCUACAACUACUUCUUACAGUUCCAGUUAGACAAGAUAAAUAUGAAUAUCAAAAGGGUUGUUGGAUAUCGGCAAUGGUGCAAUAAAUUUUGGAAUGCCAUUCGAUUUGCAAUGGGCAGGCUUGGUGAUCAUUACAGUCCACUAGCAAUUAUCGUUGUGUCUCCAGUGCCUCCAAUCUGCAAAUAGAUACUCUCAGUAUUUAAUAAGGCUAUUGCAAUUAUUUGAACUGGUUUAAGGCGUGAUCAGAAGUCCUCCAGCUUAUGGAUUCCUGAAACUCCGGCGUGGAGCAGUGCCAAAAAGUCUAGCUUCACGGAGCCAGAUUCGAGAAAGCCUGCCCAAUUUGAUGUACAAAUAUACAUUUAUAGGUGGAUCUGAUUAAAGGGGCAUUGGCACCAUUGGCAUCUUGAUGGCAGAGCAAUGAUGCGCAUCCACUGGUUAUAGAGAGAUAUGAGGUCAAUUAUAUCAGUGCAAAUAUCAAGAAGGUGCAUCAAAAGUAUGGAACUGUGUGCGCUGCCGACUUCACUCACCACUAUAAAGUUUUAGCCCUAAUAAGACCAGUUCAUAUUAACACUAUGUGUACCUGUCUCACCUAUCUAUCUUGUUUCGUAAGAUCAGGUUUUUGAACACAUGUAUCUAUUUGGUAGAUCACCGGUGGUUCUUUCCA